rnacentral:rRNA from 1 species
ACGCUCGACACCUACGGGAGGCAGCAGUGGGGAAUAUUGCACAAUGGAGGAAACUCUGAUGCAGCGAUGCCGCGUGAGGGAAGAAGGUUUUCGGAUUGUAAACCUCUGUCUUUGGGGACGAUAAUGACGGUACCCAAGGAGGAAGCUCCGGCUAACUACGUGUCAGCAGCCGCGGUAAUCUGAGCGGGCUGGCAAGGC